GCGCCUGUAGCUCAACUGGAUAGAGCACCUGAUUACGGAUCAGGAGGUUAGGGGUUCGAAUCCUCUCAGGCGUA
rnacentral:tRNA from 4 species